rnacentral:antisense_RNA from 1 species
CCUCAUCGCGACCGUGGAGCUGGGGGUGUUUUUAAGUUUGGGGCGAGGCCGGUGAGGCCAAGGCGCGGGCGGCAAGGGGCGCUCGAGAGCGACGGGGCUCGGCCUCCGCGGCUGCCCAGGAGCCCGCGGCCAGUGUGCUUUUCAUUCCGAGAAGAGAAAAAUAGCUUGUACUUAAAUACUUCCUGUGAAGUUUUGACUGAGAUGCUGCAACAAUUCCCGAGCUGUUUCAUCGUGGCACCUUCCUGGUGGCAGGUGGAUUAGCACACUGUCUGCAACCCAGGAGGACCUGGAGGAAAGUCCCAGCUCUACUGAUUCUAGCUGAGUAACCUUGGCAAAGGUCACCUCACUUCUCUCUGAGUCUUAUUUUCUCAUCUGCAAAAUGAGGAGGAGGAGGAGGAGGAGGAUCAUCCAAACAUCACGGGACUUCGUUAAAUCAGUGCUUUGGAGCACUUAGCACAGCGCCUGGUGCAAGGUAAGCACUUGAUAAAUGGGA